GACGAACGCUGGCGGCGUGGAUUAGGCAUGCAAGUCGGACGGUAGGGCUUUAUCGUAAGAUAGAGUUUGAGAGUGGCGAACGGGUGAGUAACACGUAGGAAUCUACCCUUAAGACGGGGACAACCCAGGGAAACUUGGGCUAAUACCGGAUGAGAGUGCGAGAGAUUGCAUUUAAAAGGAUGGCGAAAGUUGUCGCUUAGGGAUGAGCCUGCGGUCUAUUAGUUAGUUGGUGAGGUAAGAGCUCACCAAGGCGAUGAUAGAUAGGCGGCCUUAACGGGUGGUCGCCCACACUGGGAUUGAGAUACGGCCCAGACUCCUACGGGAGGCGGCAGUCGAGAAUAGUCUACAAUGGCCGGAAGGCUGAUAGUGCGACGCCGCGUGAACGAGGGAGCCCUUCGGGUGUAAAGUUCUUUUCUAUACGAGCAGUGCUAUAUAUAUGGAUAGUAUAUAUAGAGGGAUAGUAGUAUAGGAAUAAGCAACGGCUAACUCCGUGCCAGCAGCCGAC
rnacentral:rRNA from 1 species